UGGGGAAUUUUGGACAAUGGGGGAAACCCUGAUCCAGCCAUCCCGCGUGUGCGAUGAAGGCCUUCGGGUUGUAAAGCACUUUUGGCAGGAAAGAAACGUCAUGGGUUAAUACCCCGUGAAACUGACGGUACCUGCAGAAUAAGCACCGGCUAACUACGUGCCAGCAGCCGCGGUAAUACGUAGGGUGCAAGCGUUAAUCGGAAUUACUGGGCGUAAAGCGUGCGCAGGCGGUUCGGAAAGAAAGAUGUGAAAUCCCAGAGCUCAACUUUGGAACUGCAUUUUUAACUACCGGGCUAGAGUGUGUCAGAGGGAGGUGGAAUUCCGCGUGUAGCAGUGAAAUGCGUAGAUAUGCGGAGGAACACCGAUGGCGAAGGCAGCCUCCUGGGAUAACACUGACGCUCAUGCACGAAAGCGUGGGGAGCAAACAGU
rnacentral:rRNA from 1 species